UAAUGGUGUUGCAGUGUCUUCCUUCUUUUGUUUCUGUCCUUGCUAGGGCUCAAUCCGGCUUCAUCGCUCUUUUUGUGGGGCCGAGCCUGAGCAUGCGAAGCUGGGAGGCGGGUCCCUAAGUGAGCUCUCGGAGGCCGGGGCACUGUACGAGCGUUGGCGUGUGUGAUUCCAGAGGGGCUCGGAUGAGGAUGCGCCGAGUCUUAGUUCAUCGGACCCCUUUUCUGCCACCGUGAGGGGCACGAGCAAACGCGGAAUUAUACACUUGGAGGCAUCUGGAAAAGAUAUGUGGAUCUUGGAAGAUAGUCUGAAAUAUGUAGGAAAGGCAUAAAACAAGGGUGUUUUUCUUAGAGCAUCAUUUGUCAGAUUUAUUUGAUCAAGAAGUUGAAGAGUUACAUAAUAAGAGAUUAAUCUCAAUGUGACAAUUUACGAAAAGUGAUCAUCCAGAGAAGAAAUUGACCAACAAAGUGGCAAAGAAACAAAAAAAAAUUACAAUCUUGGAAGUAAAAUUGGAUGUGAUUAGAUUAGAAAAUGGUGACCACAAGGCAAAAGAUAGGUCAGAAGCGAGGCCUGCAGGAAUCUCUAGUUAUGAACAAUAUUGAAAGAGUCUGAUGAAGCAACUUUACCUUUUUAAAAAAAAAAAAAUUCAACAUCUUUUUUCCCCCUUUUGUUUAUUUUUACAUUAUUAAGCAUUACAGAUAAUGUCAGUGUAUUUUAGCUUAAAUUGUGCUAGGAACAGAGCAUCACUUACGGCUUUCUGUUGAAAUGGAAUAUUUACUUCUACUUUGGAUUGAAGAUUAUAAUCAAAAGCAAACUUCUGGUUUUCCAGAGCAUUGGUAUUUAUUGCUGCAUUGAAAGAAAGUGCUAAUUACAAAGAAACUAAAAAUGAACAUACUACUGCCAGUAAAGGCUAUGUAAGAAGUUGGCAUGUGUGCUGGAGGCAUGGCUUAAGCAGUAGAGUACCACCACCAGAAAAAAUCAGCAGGGACUGAUUAGUACUAAGCUGUCUGGUGAAGCUGCAAGCCCAGAGGAGGACGCUACUGUGAAGUUUGCACUCAGAUUCCAAGAUAUAGGCAGUUCUUGCUUUGCACAAUUGUUCAAGCCUGUACUGUGUAAGAAACUGCAGGAUUCAGUAUAGUGCUAUAGAAGACAUGGUCGACUUUGGGAAUAUUGACACUGCUGCUAUUCAAGAGGCAAGGUCGUUUCAAAGCAGUUUACAUGGUGGCCAGGAAGUAAAGAGAGGAUCCCUGUGCUGAUUGGCUCUUCUUUCCUUUUAUAUUCCACCUGGUCCCCUACCUUUGGGAUUGUGCUGCCUGCAUUCACAUGGGUCUUCCUACCUUUGUUAAACCUCUGGAAACUCCCUUGCAGAUACACCCAAUGGUCUGAUUUACUAAUCAAGGUGAUUCUCCAUCCAACCAAGUUAACAAUUAAGAUUAACCAUCUCACAAAUCUGUUGGCAUAAAUGAGAGAAGUGGUGACAUAAAAGAUGAAGAAACCUCAGAGAAUGAUACCAGCAAAAACCACAUUAAAGGAGGCAUUAAAAGCACAAAGGAUAAAAUUUUGGUAGCUCAUCCAAAUUCAGGAGUAGGGUAAUUUGACAAGACACAGAAAAGAUGCUUUCUGUAAGUAAUAUCACAGAAAAGUCAGUACUGUUCACGGAUUCUUAAUAAAUUACAAAGACAAUACUUGCCAGUUUCUAAUAUUUAGAAUUAUAGUGUACUAAAUCAUGUAUGUUGUUAAAAAUUUUUUUAAAUAUAUUUGUAACCAACAAGUGUUAGUUUUGUGAAAAAUUUUAAGAUCAUAGAACAAUCCUUUUCCUGUAGGUAAAGAUUGCUGCUAGGUGCCAGUGGCUCACACCUGUAAUCCUAGCUAUUCAGGAGGCAGACAUCAGGUGGAUCGCAGUUCAAAUAGUUGGUGAGAACCUAUGUCAAAAAUACCUAACACAAAAAGGGCUGGCAGAGUGGCUCAAGUGGUACAGCACCUGCCUAGCAAGCAUGAAGAACUGAGUUCAAACCCCAGUACUGCCAAAACAAAAGAUUGCCCUGUGGUUUCUGCUUAUGUGGUCAAUGCUAGGACUGCCUGCAUUCAAAACAAGAUAGGGAAUCUUCAUCUUUUUUUAACCAAAUGUGAAACAUCCAUGAAUUGUCUUUAGAACAGUUAUAAUUUUACUUUUCAUACUGCUUUAUGUUACUGA